rnacentral:rRNA from 1 species
GAGUCGAGUUAUUUGGGACUAUAGCUCUAAUAGUUUGGUUGGUGGUAAUGACACAUCAAAGGCUAAAUAUUGGUUAGUCGAUGCAUAUUGCGGAGACCGAUAGCAUACAAGUACCGUAAGGGAACGAUGAAAAGCACCCUAUUGAGUUCACGGCGCAGACUCUGAUACUUCUGUAUCUUGUCCAGCGCCCAACAACUACAGUGGGAGUGAAAGAGAGAGUGAAAUCGCCUAUACAUAUAUAUAACAUAUGCACUACACACAGUAACCUGCAUAUUGCAGUCUGCGUUAGUACAAUCGGACAGAGUGUCGUAUAUAACAUAUGGCCGCCUAAUACAUAUCCACACACACUCUAUGUAUUAUGGCCUGGCCCAUAGUGGGUUCGCCCGCUAUACGCGACACGACUGUACGACCCGUUUUGAAACACGGACCAAGGAGUUCAACUGGAUUACGAGUCGUCGAGCGUACCGUAUAAUAUAUACCUACACUCACACGGCAUAGCGAAAGCAACUUAAUCCUUUACAGUGCUAGGUCGGCCGUCAAAAGCUCGACCGCAGCACGCGCUGAGUGAGUAUAUACGUGCGGGCCUUUUUGCGUCAACGCGUAUACCUGCGUUUAUUCACAGGAUCACUCAAGCGUUCAACGAGUAUAUCUUGUUGAGACCCGAAAGAUGGUGAACUAUGCUCGGAUAUGGCGAAGUCAGGUGAAAACUUGAUGGAAGCUUGCGUUGUGCGGAACUGACGUGCAAAUCGUUACCGCCUCACCUGAGUAUAGGGGCGAAAGACUCAUCGAACCAUCUAGUAGCUGGUUCCCUCCGAAGUUUCCCUCAGGAUAGC